rnacentral:rRNA from 1 species
GAUGAACGCUGGCGGCGUGCCUAAUACAUGCAAGUCGAGCGAACAGACGAGGAGCUUGCUCCUCUGACGUUAGCGGUGGACGGGUGAGUAACACGUGGAUAACCUACCUAUAAGACUGGGAUAACUUCGGGAAACCGGGGCUAAUACCGGAUAACAUGUUGAACCGCAUGGUUCAACAGUGAAAGACGGUCUUGCUGUCACUUAUAGAUGGAUCCGCGCCGCAUUAGCUAGUUGGCAAGGUAACGGCUUACCAAGGCAACGAUGCGUAGCCGACCUGAGAGGGUGAUCGGCCACACUGGAACUGAGACACGGUCCAGACUCCUACGGGAGGCAGCAGUAGGGAAUCUUCCGCAAUGGGCGAAAGCCUGACGGAGCAACGCCGCGUGAGUGAAGAAGGUCUUCGGAUCGUAAAACUCUGUUAUUAGGGAAGAACAAAUGUGUAAGUAGCUAUGCACGUCUUGACGGUACCUAAUCAGAAAGCCACGGCUAACUACGUGCCAGCCGCCGCGGUAA